rnacentral:rRNA from 1 species
GAUGAACGCUGGCGGCGUGCCUAAUACAUGCAAGUAGAACGCUGAAGGAAGGAGCUUGCUCUUUCCGGAUGAGUUGCGAACGGGUGAGUAACGCGUAGGUAACCUGCCUGUUAGCGGGGGAUAACUAUUGGAAACGAUAGCUAAUACCGCAUAACAGUAGAUGUUGCAUGAUAUCUACUUAAAAGGUGCAAUUGCACCACUACCAGAUGGACCUGCGUUGUAUUAGCUAGUUGGUGAGGUAACGGCUCAACAAGGCGACGAUACAUAGCCGACCUGAGAGGGUGGUCGGCCACACUGGGAAUGAGACACAGGCCAGACUCCCUAGGGAGGGAGCAGUAGGGGAACUUCGGCAAUGGAGGGAAGUCUGAACGGGCAACGCCGCGGGAGGGAAGAAGGUUUUCGGAUCGGAAAGAUCUGUUGUAAGGGAAGAACGAGUUGGGGAGUGGAAAGUGCACACUGUGACGGUACCUUACCAGAAAGGGACGGCUAACUACGUG